rnacentral:lncRNA from 1 species
CACAAAAUGUAUUGCUUCAUAUUUCUUCACAGUCAACAUAAAAAAGACAAUGUGGUAUGUUGCUAAUGAGACAACUCUCAACAAGAGACCAAAAUGACACAGAAAUUAACAACUGUACGGCCUUUAACAAUGAGCAAAGCCAAUACCGCAUAGUCGGCUGUAAUACGCCCCAAAAUGACAAUGUAACCACAAUUUAAAAGAAAAAACUAACAAACCUUAUUUUAAUAUUUUAAUAUAUAAAAAAAAUGCAAGAUCUAACAAAGCCUCAUACAGACAAAUAUAAUGCAAUGAAGACUGCUACAAAUUUAUUUAUUUUGUCAAACCAUUUACAG